rnacentral:lncRNA from 1 species
UUCACUCUUUUUGGAGAAGGGAAGACUGGAAAAGAGGGGCUAUAAGCCUUGAAGUUACAAAAACCAGUCAACAACUGCACAAUCCACAGCCAGCGAUACCAAUCAUAGACAUGGAUUUUCUAAGGGCCAGCGUGAGGUGGAAACCACUCCCACCCCGUGUUUAAGGGAACAAACAGCACACUUGAAGGGCCCCGUGGGAGAACCUGUAGCAGCGGAAAGGGAGUUGUAGGCCAUCAUGACACCAGACCAAAGGCUCGUGUCCCCCUCCAACUCAACUGGAUCCAAACUUUAGAGCCAAAAAACACAUGACAUGACGCUUCAAAGAAAGAUAAAACCGCGAGACAAGGAGCAUGACUCACUCGAGUGGACUGGAAUAUGUUAAGAACUUAAGAUGCGCCGAAAGGUUGACUAAUGUAAUUAGAUACAGCUCUUGUUUCACUGCGUUUUUGUUAUCAGGCAGCUCUCCACAUGUCGAGGUUUUAUCCCCCUAAGAAGAAAGUCGGAAGUUUCUGUGGAAUCACGCGCGCGCAUGCUCUCCACAUGUCGAGGUUUUAUCCACCUGAGAAUAAAGUCGGAAGUUUCCGUGGAAUCGCGCGCGCAUGUUAUGCAUAGCAAAACGGAAAGAAAUUCUUCUUUCCGUGCUUCGUAAGCCGGUUCAACCCAUGUCUUCAACAAUGACUUCAGGACCUGAAAUCUUUAAGAAAAAACCUAAGUGUUAAGUAGAUCAUGCAACCAAUGCGACAGAAAGAAAACUUAGAACCAUCAAGUCAGCACCCAAUGGGACGGAACGAUUAUGGUUUCCGUAUAGAAGGUUUCAGGUUUCCUGCCCCAUUGCAGUACAGGUGUACGCUUAAAACAAUUCAAUCAUUCAUGAAAGAUGUAAUGCGACUAUCAUUGGGCCAUCUGACCAGAUCUCCAUCUUUAGUUUCCUUGACCUUCUUAAAUGAUAAAAUGAGGAAACAAUGACCCAAAAAACAUGUCCCUAUGAUGUGCUCCCUGCAUUAAAAUUAUUAGGAGGCUCACAGGAAAAUUGUGCUGUCUUGUUGCACCCUUUCUAGCUAAUCUUGAGGUGGCCACCACCAUCAUGGUCUGUAGUGCUCACUUGCACCUCCCCAUGGCUUAUAAUAGCCCAUAAGUGUAUUGUAGAUUGUGCUUGAGCUUGAGCUAAAGACUGUUCUCAUUGGUCUUAGUACCUAAAGGUCUUGGGCUGAGAGUAAUGGGCAAUGAGAUGGGCAACAACAACGUUAUCGGUCAACAAGGUAUGCAUGUUGCUAAAUACUAUCUGCUUUCUAGGAAUGAGCAUGAAUAUUUUGCUAACCAUCUUCUUAUGUAAUUCUAGUACCAGAGGAGAGUGCUAAGGAUUUCGACAAAACCAUGGCCAACGCAGAUUAUUCACAUGAGCUCAGCAACAUAAAUGGUGAGAAAGGUACUACCUCUGUUUCACAAUAUUUAUCCUGCACGGAAUACCUAGGAGGCAUAAAUUCAACGAAUAUUUGAUGGAAUCAUGUCAAACUUGCUCUUACUAGAAACUCACCACUAUGAAGCUAUGGUCGCUGAUUCAUUGUUCUGUUUAUGUUAGAUACGGAGAAGGAUGUCACUAAGGAUGUAGAUAUGUCAGAGGUAUUAAAGGUCCCCCUCAUCUCUAGUGGUGGAGAUAAGCAUAUGGCUUCAGAUCAAACAAAAUUGUCGGCAGCGAAUGAAGACUUAGAUGGGAAGAAUAGGGGUUCACCUCAGGAUCACGCAUCAACAGAAGAUGAUGAUGGGAAUAAUUACUUACCUACAGAACAAAGUUAGUUCAGCCGGCUGAUAUCAUACCUACUAUAACUUUAUUUUUGUAAUGUAAUACCUCAUAUGAGAAUCGUGGUUUAAUAUUAAAAGCUCGGAAAUGGCUAUUUCCGUAUGAGGUAGUAAGAAAAAUCUAGAGAUUUAAUACACAAAAUUUUCCAUACAAGUUAACUUCUAGUUAGAAUUCAGUGGAAUGUAAUCUGGAGUUCAAUAAUCACUAUAAUGCUAUUAUCACUCAUUCAUUAUUCUGUUUAUGUUAGAUAAGGAGAAGGAUGGCGCUAAGGAUUUGGAUAUGUCAGAGGUGCUAAAGGCCCCUGUCAUUUCUAAUGGUGGAGAUGAUCAAAUGGCUUCAGAUCAAACAAAAAUCUCUGCUGCAAAUGAAGACUUAGAUGAGAAGAACAGGGGCUCACUUGAGGAUCAUACAUCAACACAAGAUGAUGGAAACCGUAACUUAUCUACAGAACAAGGUUAGUUCAGCUGGUUGAUACAGUUCGUAACUAGCUUGUUUUGCUGUCUUUCGUACAAUAGUUCCAUUUUCGUGCUUUAAUAAGCCAUUUAAAACUGGUUUAGUAUGAGAAAUACGUGUGCUUGAGAAAAUUAAUGGUGAUUUUAGGAUGAGAUAGUAAGAAAAGCCUAUGGUUCGAAAGAAUGCCAGUGCUACCUAGCUACCCACCUAAUGUUUUUUCGAAAAGAGGGGAAAAUCCUCUGGCUCUGUAUUGAGUGAUGCACGGCUAUCCACCUAAUAAGAAGUACAUUAUGUUUCUAUGAAUAACUAUACUUGAACUUCAGAAUGUAUAAUUGUCCACUAGAAACAUAGGCAGUUAAGCAUUUCUCAGCAGUAAUUGUUUUUACCUUCAGCACUAUAAGCUCGACUAAUAAAAGCAAGUAAUCUGGCACAGGUGAUGAAACACAGGAGGACAGUGGAACUGAAACAGCCACAAAUUCUGCAGAAACAGUUGCCCAUGUCGGCACCACAACUGAAGAUAUAACAAGCAACAAGGAUACUUCAUCAGCUAAUGAGCAAUUCACACAACUUGAACACGAAACUACAGAGAAAAAUGAAGAAAAUACCACUGCAAAUCCCGCCAUGUUGUUAGAGGAAAGCAUUGAAGGUCUGCCAGAAGACGAGGAGGAAUCUUGUAGUCAAGAAGUUGCAGGGGCGAGUGAUAAUCUAGUUGGAGGAGAUACAGUUGAAAACCUAGAAGGACAAACCGGAGUGUCAACAGUGGUGGGUGAUAAUCUAGUUGGAGAGACUACAUCAUCAACUGAAUCAAUUAUCAGUGGUUAUCUUGCUGACGAGAGUAAGGAGGUUGUCGUCGAAGAUGAGCCUAGAGAAAGAGAAAAUUCGUCAUAUGUAAAACCAGAAGGCGACACCAACCAAGAAACAUUCAAGAAUGAAGAGAAGCAAGAAAUCUGUGAGAUAGGCAAAAACAAUACCUGCAAAACUAUAACAGAAGAUACUGUGGUUGAAAGCGCUGAAGUGCUAGAAGAAGACAAGAAGAUCCAAGGAUUGGAAAAUCAGGAGGAAGAAUUCCCCAAAUGUAAUAAAUAUGGUGCUCCCGAUAUUGUUGAAGCCGUUUCCCAGUUUCAGUCAACUUUAGCACACCCCAGUGCAGCAAGUGGCAAAGAAUUUCAGAAACAUGAACUGAGUAUAGCAGAACAGAUGUUAGAUUCUGUAAGUGUAGCAAUGGAGCACAAUGUAAUUAAAACAGCAGAGAAAGAGCAAGGGGGAAUUAUUGAAAGGGAUGUUGCAGACAAGAAUGAAGAAGAUAAUUUUGAAGGGGAUCAGAAAUCUGAUGGUAUGUCAGAGGUGUUAAAGGACCCUAUCAUUUCUAAUGGUGGAAAUGAUCAAAUAGCUUCAGAUCAAACAAAAAUCUCUGCUGCAAAUGAAGACUUAGAUGAGAAGAACAGGGACUCACUUCAGGAUCAUACAUCAAUACAAGAUGAUGAUGGAAAUAGUAACCUACCUACAGAACAAGGUUAGUUCAGCUGGCUGAUAUGGCUCAUACCUAGCUUGUUUUGCUGUUUCUUACUAUGUUUUAUUUUUGUGCUUUAAUAAGCCAUUUAAGAAUGGUUUAAUAUGAGAAGAAUGCGUGUUUGCGAUAAUAAAUGGUGAAUUCAGUAUGAGAUAGUAAGAGAGGGAUUCAAAAGUGAAAAUUUGCUAGAUGCUAGUGCUACCUAGCUACCCACCUAAUAAAAGGUAAGUUAUGCUUCUAUGAACAACUAUACUUGAACUUCAGAAUAUAUGAUGGGCCACUAAAAUCAUAGGUACCUAAGCAUUGCUUUCCUUCAGCACUAUAUACUCUCCUAAUAAAAGCAAGUGAUCUGGCACAGGUGAUGAAUCACAAGAGGGCAGUGGAACUGAAACAACCACAGAUGGUACAGAAAAAGUUGCCGCUGUCGACACCACUACUGAAGACAUGACAAGUGGCAAUGAUACAUCAUUAUCUGAUGAGCAAUUCAAACAAGUUGUACACGAAAUGACAGAGACAAGUGAAGAAAGUACCAUACCAAAUCCCCUCACAUUGUUAGAGGGAAUUAUUGAAAGUGCGCCACAAGAUGGGGAGGAAUAUUGCAGUCAAGAAGCUGCAGUGGUGGAUGAUAAUCUAGUUGGAGAAGAUACAGUUGAAAGCCUAGAAGAAAGACAAACUGGAGUGUCAGCAGUAGAGGAUCUAUGGACACCAUCCUCGGUACAAGGAGCGACUACAUCAUCAACUGAAUCAAUUAUCACUGAUCAUCUUGAUGAUGAGACUAAGGAGGUUGUCCUCGAAGAUGAGCCUAGAGAAAGAGAAAAUUCAUCACAUGUACGACCAGAAGAUGACACCAACCAAGAAACAUCCAAGAAAGAAGAGAAGCAAGAAAUCUGUGAAAUGGGCAACAACAAUUCCUGCAAAACCAUAACAGUAGAUACUGUGAUUGAAAAUGAUGAGGUGCUAGAAGAAGACGAGAAGAUCCAAGGAUUGGAAAAUCAGCAGGAAGAAUUUCCCAAAUGUAGCGCAUAUGGUGCUCUCGACAUUGUUGAAGCUGUUUCCCAAUUUCAGUCAGCUUUAGCAGAUCCCAGUGCAACAAAUAGCAAAGAACUUCAGAAACAUGAACUGAGUAUAGCAGAACAGAUGUCAGAUUCUGUAAGUGCAGCAAUGGAGCACAAUGUAAUUGAAACAGCAGAGAAAGAGCAAGGGGGAAUUGUCAACAAAGAUGUUGCAGACAAGAAUGAAGAAGAUAAUUUUGAAGGGGAUAAGAAAUCUGAUGGUAUCCAUGACUCUCUUGGUCUUGCCAAGGUCCACGGAGAAGAUUUUACAGGUUUAGGCCCACCAUUAUCUGGCCCUCUUCCUAUUUUGAAUGAAGAAAAGGUACAUGAAGAAGUCAUCAUAGAAGAAUUAGCUGCACCAAUGACUGCAACAUCACAUGCUCUUCAACCAGUAGAAGAUUUUGUCAAGGAAGAUAUUAAACCUGAUAGUUCGGAUAGUAAUGAAGGAGCCACCACCUCCACAUGUGAAGCAAAGGCUAUAGAUACACAAGAAACCAUGAACAGCUCACAGUGUGAUCAGCCUCAACCGUUACUGCUUGAAGAACCUGAAGUUGUCAAGUUUGAAAACAGUGAGACUCUGAGCACCUGCAUGAAGCCGGUGGAAUGCAGUUCAGCGACAGACUUGAUCUUCCCUAAUUUAUUCAACAAGGAGAGACAAGGCACAUCUGAUAAAGCCACAUGUUUUACUUCUGAAUCCAAUCAGGAGAAAGUCACAGGGACUGUAGGCUUUGCUGUUGAAUCGGAACAGAAGAAAGUUAUUGCAAAUGCUGAUGAUUCUAGUGAGGAACAGUGUCUGCUUCAGAAACCAACUCUAGGGACAGAUGUGGGUGAAGAGACUCCAUUACUUCUGAGUACAGAAAGCAUCAACUCUUUAAGUUAUUCUAGUGAACAGCACAGCAAAGUAGUCAAGGACAUCCCCAUGACCAACAUCACUCUGAUGCAAGCCAAAGAUGAAGCUGUGGAAGAAUCUGAGAAGAGUCCACUGUUGAGCCCUAGGGAGCAAUCAGAAGGAGCCUUCAGAGCGCCAAAUCACUCUGCAAGAAACAAUAAACCACUUUGUAGCUUAAUGACGGAGGACGGCGUUGGAACGUGGUCACCAUUGAAGGAACAAGAACCGGUUCAAAAGAACAGCACCACGGUUAGUUCUCCUAGAAGCAAAGAAAAGCAGAAGCCAAAGUCAUCCCUUUUUGCCAUUUGCAUGUGUUGCACUACAGCUACGGACUGAUUUAUGGCUUCAUUUGUUGUUUUCCUUAAUGCCUGGUUGAUUUUCUUUUUGUUCAAGGUUUGAUGCUCGAGUUUACUUAGUGAAGAAUGUUUUGCAGUUGCUGGAAAUAUUUUAGAUACCACAACUUGUAUUGAUCAUAAGUUGUAUGUUACUCUUUUUUCCCAUCAAUGUAUCUGGCUUGGAGAAUGAAUGCCUUCAAUAAUACAAGUGUCUGUAAAGGGUUGUCGAGUUGCAAACAUCCUUUGUGUACGACACGAUAUAUAGCAUUCCGACAUUAAAUAUCUCCGCUGCCGUUGUUCUAUGCCCAAAACAGACAAAUGUCCAUAAAAUGCGAGCAUGACAUGCCAAAAACUUCCAAUUAUCAAAAGCAAUUUGAGUUGAUCAAAUUUUCACAUAAUCAUAUUAAAAUGGUAUAUUUUAGUACGUUCUCUUAAAAAGGACAGAAACAAACAGAACAAGCCCUUUCAAAAGGAUUACUGAAUUAAAUUUCCAACAUGAGAAGCAAACGCCAACAUCACUGUAGUUGGCACAAUGAUAAAGUUAGCCACUGAAAGUAAUUUCACAAGACCAUCUUAUUCUAAAGCAUUUCCACUAAAGUGGAACAUGGGAAUCCCAAAAACAUGUUUAAUUAUGCUCACCAAAUAGUACUACCUUAAAUGCCAAUGCAUAUAAUACGUAACUUACUAUUGAAAAUUCUGCUUCAAACAAUUACUGCUCGAAUUCACACAUUGAACAACUUCAGGAUUCAUAUUUAAUCAAGAGAAAGAAAAUCAGUAAUGCUCACGAGAUGACGUGACAGAGGACGGCGUACUGGAGAAGAUGCAAACAAUGAUCAAUUAUAUGAUAUCUGUCAGUAAUACACAUUCAGGUAUACACAGACUUGUUGGCAGACAGUGCAAAUAUCAGACGAACAAUAUGUACUGAUUAAAGCAAUUCCAGAUUUCUAACUAGUACUAAAUCACAGUAAGUUUUGCAGAAAAUAAUCGCAGACAUACCACGCAGUGCACGCACUCCACUUCUCCAACCGAAGGCAAGCCAUUGAUGGUUAUCUUACCUCUGCCAGUGAAAAGAAAGUGUCGGUGGCAUAUGAAGACUGCAACGAAAUUCGAUCCAUCCGGCUUAACUCGAGCAGAGAAAGAGUGCGGGUUAACUCGAGCAGACAGGAACUGCCCCCCUCCGCCGAGUCGCCGUCGUCGACCUAUCCAGGCCGGGCCGGCCACUUCCUUCUCUGCCCCAGCCCCCAGCCACGGUGGGCACGGUGUCAUCAAUACUCGUCCUCCUCACUGCUCCUCCCGUUGACCGACGCCACCAGUGCCUUCUGGAUCACACCUCCACCCGCCUCUCCGCAAGCCGCGGACGCCGCUUCCUUGUGGCCGGUAACUCAACGACCUUCCACAGUUCCACUUUGCGUCGCAGCGCCCCUCACAGGGCGGUCCCACGAUUGAUCUCGCCGUCGGUGCGCCAAUCGGCAGCCCCGCGGCCGAGUCAUGGCGAUUGGCGAACCUGCGCCGUCGACGACAAAGUUUGUGAGUAACAAAAAAAUAAAAUAAAAAUAGAACAGCCAAAUGGGUGUGCUGCUUUGAGAUUAGUGAUCUUAGGGCAUUUUCAAGGCGGAACCGCAAACCGCCCGCAUAUGUCCGGACUGCGCUGACUGGACCGCGGGAGCCAUCUAACGCGGGCCUAUAUCGAUCCACGGGACGGUCCGGACGUGAUUUUCACCGCAAACCGAAGACAAAGAUGGGGGAGCUUUGCGGGAGUCCGGACACACGAAACGUAGAAAUCUGACACCCCAGGCCACCCAAAACCCUUCCCAGACCCCGCGACUCCAUCCUCCCCAUUUGCUUUCAUUCCUUCCUUCUUUCUUGCCUUCGCCGCCGCUCCACCACCCCGGCCACCAUGCCACACCCCUGCCGAAACUCUGUGUUUCCGUCACCUCCAGCGCUCCAACAGGG